UACAGAGGUCUCAAGCGUUGUUCGGAUUCAUUGGGCGUAAAGGGUGCGUAGGCGGCGCUGCAAGUCGGGUGUGAAAUUUCGGAGCUUAACUCCGAAACUGCAUUCGAUACUGCGGUGCUUGAGGACUGGAGAGGAGACUGGAAUUCAUGGUGUAGCAGUGAAAUGCGUAGAGAUCAUGAGGAAGACCAGUGGCGAAGGCGGGUCUCUGGACAGUUCCUGACGCUGAGGCACGAAAGCGAGGGGAGCAAACGGG
rnacentral:rRNA from 1 species